AUUAACCCAGUAUAUACAUGUAGGACACUCAUUGUUUAUGUCCAUGUUUAUGUUAAACCGCUCGUUUCAGUUACUGGCUUCUGUAAAACUUUUGGAUAUUACAUAAAAUCAUCCAGACAUCAGUCAUAUUUAAACUGGCCUCAUGCAAUCCCGACUGAAAAUGAAUGUGUUAUCGCUGGAUUCUUUUAUACAGGUGAAUUCGAUCUAAUCAGAUGUUUCCAAUGCGGCAUUGGUCUUAAGGAUGUCAGU